GAUGAAGAACGUAGCGAAAUGCGAUAAGUAAUGUGAAUUGCAGAAUUCCGUGAAUCAUCGAAUGUUUGAACGCACAUUGCGGCCCCUGGUAUUCCGGGGGGCAUGCCUGUCCGAGCGUCAUUGCAACCUUCAAGCGCGGCUUGUGUGUUGGGUCUCGUCCCCCGUGGACGGGCCCGAAAGGCAGUGGCGGCGUCCCGACAUGGUGCCCGAGCGUAUGGGAAUCCUCUUCCGCUCGAAUCGGCCCAUGCGGCGCUGGUCGUAACCAAAUUUUUUACCGGUUGACCUCGGAUCAGGUAGGGAUACCCGCUGAACUUAAGCAUAUCAAUAAGCGGAGGA
rnacentral:misc_RNA from 1 species